rnacentral:rRNA from 1 species
AGUGAACGCUGGCGGUAGGCCUAACACAUGCAAGUCGAACGGCAGCACAGUAAGAGCUUGCUCUUACGGGUGGCGAGUGGCGGACGGGUGAGGAAUACAUCGGAAUCUACUUUUUCGUGGGGGAUAACGUAGGGAAACUUACGCUAAUACCGCAUACGCCCUACGGGUGAAAGCAUGGGAUCUUCGGACCUUGCGCGAUUGAAUGAGCCGAUGUCGGAUUAGCUAGUUGGCGGGGUAAAGGCCCACCAAGGCGACGAUCCGUAGCUGGUCUGAGAGGAUGAUCAGCCACACUGGAACUGAGACACGGUCCAGACGACUAAGGGAGGGAGCAGUGGGGAAUAGUGGACAAUGGGCGCAAGCAUGAUCCAGCCAUACCGCGUGGGUGAAGAAGGCCUUCGGGUUGUAAAGACCUUUUGUUGGGAAAGAAAAGCAGCAGGUUAAUACCACGCUGUACUGACGGUACCCAAAGAAUAAGCACCGGCUAACUUCGUG